rnacentral:snRNA from 1 species
GUGCUUGCUUCAGCAGCACAUAUACUAAAACUGGAAAGAUAGAGAGAGGAUUAGCAUAGCCCUGCACAAAGAUAACAUGUAAAUUUAUGAAGCAUUCCAUAUUUAA